rnacentral:tRNA from 2 species
GGUGUCGCCAAGUGGUAAGGCUCUGGAUUCUGACUCCAGCAUUCGCAGGUUCAAAUCCCGCCACC